ACCGUAAAGGUAAAGAAAUUUUAGUUUUAAUUAUGAGGUUUAUAGAUGAAAAGAAAAAUUUUCUCCUAAGGUAAAAUUAAGAGAAGGUAUUUUUUUCAAAAUUCAGACUUUGGAAAUUUAGGAGUGAGACUAGGAUUAGAUACCCUAUUAUUAUUUUAAAAAAAGAAAUUAGGUAGUAUUGGAAGGCUUGAAACUUAAAGAAUUUGGCGGUAUUUUAAUCUUAUCAGAGGAACUUGUAUUGUAAGUCGAAAUUACUCGUUUAAUUUUACUUAAAUUGUGUUUGUAUAUCGUCGUAAAAAUAAAACUUUAAAGUGGAUAUUUAAAUUCAUUUGAUGAAGAAUUACAGAUCAAGGUUCAGCUAUAUUUAAGAAAAUAUGAGUUACAAUGUUUAAAAAUAUAUGAAUAAUUCUUUGAAAAAAGAUUUUGAAGGUGGAUUUGAAAGUAUACUGGUAUAAAAAGUU
rnacentral:rRNA from 1 species